CAUUUUGGACACUUAUAUGAUGACGGCACUCUGGCAGGGAACUCACAAAGGUGGACACUGGACACUCAUUAUCAUGUAUCUUAAGGAAAUGCGGUCGUUAUACCUCGACCCAUUUG